ensembl:snRNA U6 U6 spliceosomal RNA
GUGCUUGCUUCAGCAGCACAUAUACUAACACUGGAACAAUACAGAAAAUAUUAGCAUGGCCCCUAUGCACGAAAAAGAGAAAGUAGGAAUAAUAAACAUAUCU